GCGGGGUGGCCGCGGGCGGGUGUGCGCGCCGGCCCGGCGCCCCCGAGCGCCCUGCCUCGCCUCCCGCGCGCAGCCUGUCCCCGGCUCCGCCACAGACCCACGCCCCCCGGCACCCCACGCCCACCGCGCACCCCGCCCCCGCCCCCGCGGGCGCCGCCACCUCUCCGCCCGCGGCCCGAGCGAGCGGCAACUCUCCGGCCCGCGCCGCUCGCCUUCCCGGCUCCUUCCGCGCGCGGCGAGCUCAGCCCCGCUCGAUUUUUUUUUUUUCUUUUUUUUUUCUCCCUUUUCUAUGCCAGCCCUCUCCGGUCUGGGCGGCGGCGGCGGCGGCGGCGGGGGGAUGGGGCCCCGCGUGGGGAAGGGGGCGAAGAUCGAUGAAGAUUAUUGUUCUUUUUAAGGAUCCCCUCGCGUCCUCCCGCCGCCUCCCCCGGGGCUUUCGCGCUGGAGACGGUGAAGGGAGUCAGGGAUGUGAGGACGGGGGGAGACGCCGGGAGCUGCCGCCCGCCGGGGAGACCCUCCUCUCCGCCGAGGGGAGGGGGACCGCCAGCCACAGAUCAUUGGCGAAGGGGACCGUCGCGGGGAGAGGAGCCCCGGAGGGAGCGGGGGAUCCCACGACCCUGCGUGGCGCCCGAGCCGUGCCGCCGGCCAGCGGGGUCGGUGGGAGCAGAGGCUAA
rnacentral:lncRNA from 1 species